rnacentral:rRNA from 1 species
GACGAACGCUGGCGGCGUGCUUAACACAUGCAAGUCGAACGGAAAGGCCCUGCUUUUGUGGGGUGCUCGAGUGGCGAACGGGUGAGUAACACGUGAGUAACCUGCCCUUGACUUUGGGAUAACUUCAGGAAACUGGGGCUAAUACCGGAUAGGAGCUCCUGCUGCAUGGCGGGGGGUGGAAAGUUUCGGCGGGUGGGGAUGGACUCGCGGCUUAUCAGCUUGUUGGUGGGGUAGUGGCUUACCAAGGCUUUGACGGGUAGCCGGCCUGGGAGGGUGACCGGCCACAUUGGGACUGAGAGACGGCCCAGACUCCUACGGGAGGCAGCAGUGGGGAAUAUUGCACAAUGGGCGGAAGCCUGAUGCAGAAACGCCGCGUGCGGGAUGACGGCCUUCGGGUUGUAAACAGCUUUCGCCUGUGACGAAGCGUGAGUGACGGUAAUGGGUAAAGAAGCACCGGCUAACUACGUG